rnacentral:lncRNA from 1 species
CACGGAACCAUGGUUGUGUGAAGGAAUAUUAAAAAGCUUUGCAACAUUAUUACCCUGAAAUGAACUACAUUUAUUCCAUAUCUUAAACCAAUCUCCCACAACAAGAAAUGAACCAAAAUUAGAAACAGCAGCUCUUUCAACACUACCGAAAGACAUAAUCUCACGAAGACACUUGGCAAUAAAAUCGAAUCUUUAACGCAUCACCAUUCUCAUCAAAUGUUAAACAAAUCUCCUCUUAAUUCCAAUUAUUUGAUAAGCGAGAAACAAAAUAGAUCAUUAAGUAACACAAAUUCACGAAAAAUCAAACAUAAUAGAUCGUUAAAUUGAAAUGUGACGGUAGACUUGACUAAGCCUGAUCCUCUUAGCUCAGAAGACAAGGACGGGUCGUGUUAUGAGAAAUGUCAAGGUAGACUUAACUAAAACUUAACUAAGCAUGGAUAACAGAGUAAUUUUUCUUUCCAUUCCAACAAAUGCAAAAUGAAACUCAAAACAAUCUCACAUAAUACAAAUAAAAAAUUCUUCCAUUAUCUUCUUCAGAACACAAGCAUCUCUAAUCUCCACCACCGACAAAGACCCAAGACAUUAAAAUUAAGAACAUAUAGAAUCAAAAGCAACACAAAAGACCAAAGAGAGAGAGAAAAAGAUGGUUAAGAUCAAAACCAUAAUGAUAGAACAAUCAACAACAAACUAAUGUCAUAUCUCAUCAAAUUUUUCAAAAAAAUAAAUAAAAGAAAACAAGUAAGAAUCAGACAAGCCAACAUACCAUGUCUAUUUUUGCAUUUGAAUUUUUCCUACCUCUGUUAAGUUCCAAACAUGUUUUCGAGUCAUUGGAAAUUACUUUUUAUGUUACAAAAUCACUUUUAAAAGUAUAGACACAAACGAACGUUAAUAUGCCAUGAAAAUCACUUUUAACAAAACAUUUAUUAGUAAAAAUCAAUUUUGUUAACUAGUUUCUAAAAACACUCUCAAAUAUGUCUUCCAUAACCUGGUUUAAGUUUUCAAGAAAAAUGACUAAUGGGCCAGGAUACUCAUGCCAUGGAGUGGCAAAAAAGAGGUUGAGCUUUGUAUUUUAAGUAUCAUGUUGAUGAAGACAUGUAAAAGGUCUUAUGAUACAUAUAAGUUGAGAAAACAAGUAAUAAAAGAGAAAUAUUUGAGUGUAUCAAGAAAGCACCAAUACAUAUAGAAGCUUAAGCUAAUGGAUAAGAGAGUAAAUUUAACAUAACAUCCAACACUCUUUCUCAUUUGUGAGUUUGAAAUAUGAAAAGUAGAGCCACGCUAAGUGAGAAUGUAAGUGCGUAUAUUCAUGAAAUAAGAUGUUAGCUCGUAAGACAUUGAUUUGAAGUAAAUAAGAUAUAGCAAUAUAAGAAUAGAUACGUUGUGGUACGUUAUACCAACACAUAGAUUUUAACUGUUAAAUCAAAAAAGAAAAAAACAAAAACAAAAACAAAAACAAACAAUAAAAGGCAUUAUUAAGGCGUAGUUAAAGUUUUGGUAAUUAACAUUUUUAAGCAAAGCUAGAUGGACUCACUGGCUACAAGAAAUAGACAAUAAUUUGGAUAAAGGCAAGGCAAGGAAGGGAUCUCGAGUGAUAGAAAAAGAGACGAAUGGUGACAAUAAGGGUACCAUAAAAGUAAUGGAAAUUUUUAAUUGGACAAACCAUUCAACGUAAUUCCCCCCCACGGUAACUUGGUCCAUAAAUUUCAUAAAAUCUAAUCACUCCUUCCAACCUGUCCUUCCCAUUCAUCUAAAUUCCCUUUGACUCCUUAACAAAACAACACAUUAUUUGCUUACAUGAUCAAUCAUCAUUUAUAUUCCCUCUCUUUUUCUGUGUACAAAACACCUAGAUUCUCUUCUAAUUCCACCCUAAGAGAAACCUGAAAUUUAUCACCUACUGCACAGCCUAAUAUCUUCCAUUGUCAUUGUAGCGUUUAGGCUUAGAGGUAGAUGACAUCCAAAUGAAAUACUUUAAAAGUACGAAAGUACAGCACUUGGAAAUACCAAUCUAAGAUGUAUAAGAUCUCUACUCACCCCUAGUAAGCACAGAAAUACUGAGAAAUUAAAAAGAAACUGUAAUAAGAACACAAGAAGAAGAAAAUAUUACGUAUUGUUGAUGAACUUACUUUGAGUCAAUCACGAAUUCAACACAUCUCAUCUACCAUUUAACUUUGUUGGCAUUUCAAACAUGAUGAACAUUUCAAUUCAACUCUUUUGUCUCUUGAGUACUGUAAGCUUUAGACUGAUGAUUAUGUAUUCUGCCUCUUCAAGGGAAUUCUAUGGUCUUGGUGGAAGGGUUUGGUAGGAAUUCUUUCUUUUUCUCCCUUAAGACUUGGUUUAGACAUACAAAAGCUCCUAUCUCAGUUGUAAAUAAUAAACACCUCUAACAGAGUCCAACUUGAGCCUAGAACCAAAAAAUAACUAAAAGGUUCUCACCUGCAAUUUGAUGUACUCCUUUUCUUUCUUCUUCAUCUCAUGUAUUUGUUGAGUUCUUACUUGCUUUGCACACAAACAGAAAACAACAUUAGUACUAAAAUUAUUACAUAGAAACUAGUAUCUAUCUCACAGCAUCCAACUACCAUAACCUGAUUGCCAAUAACCCUUCUCUGGAGUUCAACAUUUUCCUACUGUAGCUUGUCAAUUUGAGCUUUAAAAGCAGCCUUACCUUUGGCUUCCUGUGGAAAAGAACUUCCUUGUUCAAUGUUAAAUAGAGAGAAAUCAUAGAAUUUAGACAAGUCUCGAGAUUGUACUAUUCGUGUAACUGUUGCAAUCUCCCUAUCUUUAACUUGUACUACCGACUUUAGCCUCUCAACUUUGGUCUCCAACCUUGAUAUAUCUUAAUGUAGCCUGCCACAAGAAAAUAAAGGUGACUGAAUACACGGAACCAUGGUUGUGUGAAGGAAUAUUAAAAAGCUUUGCAACAUUAUUACUCUGAAAUGAACUACAUUUAUUCCAUAUCUUAAACCAAUCUCCCAUAACAAGAAAUGAACCAAAAUUAGAAACAGUAGCUCUUUCAACACUACCGAAAGACAUAAUCUCACGAAGACACUUGGCAAUAAAAUCGAAUCUUUAACGCAUCACCAUUCUCAUCAAAUGUUAAACAAAUCUCCUCUUAAUUCCAAUUAUUUGAUAAGCGAGAAACAAAAUAGAUCAUUAAGUAACACAAAUUCACGAAAAAUCAAACAUAAUAGAUCAUUAAAUUGAAAUGUGACGGUAGACUUGACUAAGCCUGAUCCUCUUAGCUCAGAAGACAAGGACGGGUCGUGUUAUGAGAAAUGUCAAGGUAGACUAAAUCUCAUGUAAGUCACUAGUCAAAUAAACCAACAGCUAAAACAAAGCAAAACAAUAACAAAAACCCACAAAGAUGUUGUAACGACAGUAAGACAUAUUGGUUAUGAUAAACAUAUACUACUAUGAGUUAGGAAGAUCAUGGAUCCAGCCAAAAUUAUAGAUGAAUCAGUGAUAAUCAAAAGUUGAAAUCAGUGAUAUCGAAUAUUUCUUUAACCCAAUAUGUUUAAGGUUGCAUUUUGUUGUUUCCACACACAUCUUGUGACUAUGAUCAAAGCGUUGAAAGUGCAAGAAUAUAAGUUAUAGAAUAGAUAGAUUCAAAUAUAUUAGCAAUAUUUUUUGCUGGGUACAUCAGAGAUUUAGAAGUAAGAAAUUAUAUGAAUGAUAAAUCAAAAUAGUUCAGAGACAUGGCACCUUUUCCUCACGUAGCUCCACUAAAACAAAGUGGUAAAGGGGAGAAAGCUAAAAUGUGGCAAAUGCCUUCUUCGCUAAAAUGUGGCAAAUGCCUUCUUCUUUCAAACAUGAAGAGAUUGAUCACAAAGUCAAGUUGAAAGCUAAAAAAACUUAAGCCUCUAUUUGGCAACAAUUUUGUUUCACAAAAUUAUGCUUAUGAAAAUUACUUAUGACUAAACUUCUUUGAACAAUUGAUAAAAAUGUUCUUGAAAACUACUUUUUC